rnacentral:rRNA from 1 species
CCAGACUCCUACGGGAGGCAGCAGUGAGGAAUAUUGGUCAAUGGGCGGGAGCCUGAACCAGCCAUGCCGCGUGAAGGCGAGUGCCCUACGGGCGUUAAACUUCUUUUGUGCGGGAGCAAUAAGGGCCACGUGUGGCCCGAUGAGAGUACCACACGAAUAAGCAUCGGCUAACUCCGUGCCAGCAGCCGCGGUAAUACGGAGGAUGCGAGCGUUAUCCGGAUUUAUUGGGUUUAAAGGGUGCGCAGGCGGUCUGUUAAGUCAGCGGUCAAAGCCCGGGGCUCAACCCCGUCGUGCCGUUGAAACUGGCGUUCUUGAGUGAGCGAGAAGUAUGCGGAAUGCGUGGUGUAGCGGUGAAAUGCAUAGAUAUCACGCAGAACUCCGAUUGCAAAGGCAGCAUACCGGCGCUCAACUGACGCUCAUGCACGAAAGUGUGGGUAUCGAACAGGAUUAGAUACCCGUGUAC